AAUAAACCUCUACUUGACUCUAACUGAACCAAAUCGACUCAAUAAACAACUAGACUAAACAGACUCAAUAAACAUUAUUCAAAAGCUCAGAAAAAGGGUCCUAACAGUUCCUCCCUCUUCAAAUCAGCCUUGUCCUCAAGGCUGAGCAGCAUCAAUCUCGGGGAGGUUCUCUUUCAGCACUUUAGCCAUAGACUAUCUGCAACGCAUCACAACCCAUUGAUCAAGUAAGUAUGGUCUCCACUUUUUGACAGUGUAAGCAAUAGGUCGAUCAUUUAGUAUAGUAAUCAUUGCAACAAACUCCUGGCCUU
rnacentral:lncRNA from 1 species